GAGGGAAAGUUGCAAAGCACUUUGAAGAGAGAGUUAAAGAGGACGUGAACCGGUAAGGUGGAAACGGAUAGAGCCAGCGGAUUGGCCUGUAUUCAGCCGCUCGACCAGGGCCGUAGUGCGCCGGCCUCGUCAAAGGGUCGGUGUGCGAUCGGCUCCGGCUGGAGCGGUGCAUUUUCAGGCGAGGUGCGCCGAGACUUGCGGGUUGGCGGUAGAAAACGUGCUGCAGAGGACCCCUUCACGGGGGAAACCUGUGCGCGGCAGAUGACUGUUCGACCUGCUCGUAGAGAGAGGGCCUGGCCCAUGCGGGUCCGUGUACGGUUGGUGUUGCCAACGAUGUUGUCCGCAUGCGGUACGCGUCGGUGGCGGCUCCGGCAGUGCCCGGAUUCCCGGGGUCCAAUCUCGGUGUGGAAGCUGGUCAUCUCUCCGACCCGUCUUGAAACACGGACCAAGGAGUUUAGCGUAUGCGCGAGCCAUUGGGUGCGAAACCCAGAGGCGCAAUGAAAGUGAAGGCGCUGUCGCAGUGCUGACACGCGAGCCCGGGGCACUCGCUGUCUUGGGCGCAGCGUGGUCCCGUUCUAGCCGCUUGCGGCGGGGCGGAGACAGAGCGUAUGCGCUGAGACCCGAAAGAUGGUGAACUAUUCCUGAGCAGGACGAAGCCAGAGGAAACUCUGGUGGAAGUCCGAAGCGGUUCUGACGUGCAAAUCGAUCGUCUGACUUGGGUAUAGGGGCGAAAGACUAAUCGAACCAUCUAGUAG
rnacentral:rRNA from 1 species